rnacentral:rRNA from 1 species
GUUGAACGCUGGCGGCAGGCCUAACACAUGCAAGUCGAACGGUAACAGGAAACAGCUUGCUGUUUCACUGACGAGUGGCGGACGGGUGAGUAAUGUCUGGGAAACUGCCUGAUGGAGGGGGAUAACCACUGGAAACGGUAGCUAAUACCGCAUAACGUCGCAAGACCAAAGAGGGGGACCUUCGGGCCUCUUGCCAUCGGAUGUGCCCAGAUGGGAUUAGCUAGUAGGUGGGGUAACGGCUUACCUAGGCGACGAUCCCUAGCUGGUCUGGGAGGAUGACCAGCCACACUGGAACUGAGACACGGUCCAGACUCCUACGGGAGGCAGCAGUGGGGAAUAUUGCACAAUGGGCGCAAGCCUGAUGCAGCCAUGCCGCGUGUAUGAAGAAGGCCUUCGGGUUGUAAAGUACUUUCAGCGGGGAGGAAGGGAGUAAAGUUAAUACCUUUGCUCAUUGACGUUACCCGCAGAAGAAGCACCGGCUAACACCGUGCCAGCCGCCGCGGUAA